rnacentral:rRNA from 1 species
UACAGAGGGGGCAAGCGUUAUUCGGAAUUAUUGGGCGUAAAGGGCGCGUAGGCGGCUUCGCAAGUGGAAGGUGAAAUCCCUCGGCUUAACCGAGGAACUGCCUUCCAAACUGCUUGGCUUGAGUCCGGGAGAGGUGAGUGGAAUUCCUAGUUUAGCGGUGAAAUGCGUAGAUAUUGGGAGGAACGACCCAGUGGCGAAGGCGGCUCACUGGACCGGAACUGACGCUGAUGCGCGAAAGCGUGGGGAGCAAACGGGG